rnacentral:tRNA from 1 species
UCCCUGGUGGCUCAGAUGGUAAAGAAUCUGCUUGCAAUGCAGGAGACCCAGGUUCAAUCCCUGGGUGGGGAA